CUUGCUUUUUGGAUAUAACACAAAACCCCUCUUCAUGCUAUUAACUCUGUCUAAAACUCAACCCCUCGAAAAAACUGUCUAGAACUCUAUUCACUCUCUCAGCAACCAAAGUCUCAACUGAGAUUGCGAUCUCAAUCUCAGCCAUCUCAAUCUUUCAAACUUAAAAAUACUUACCCAAGCCUAGUCUCUCCUUCAACCCCGAGAAUCCUUUCCAUUCGCGUCCGGCUUAAUAGAGUUUUUCAACAACCACUCAAGAGAUUAGAGGAAGCUUGACUAUUCUGUUUUCGAUCGGGUUAGUGGCCGGCCGGGAUUCAGACUUGUGCUGUUGCUUCUUAUAGCAUUGCUGUUGGAGAUUAAUAAAAGAGGCGAUACAGUGGAUGAGAAGAUCAAGAAGCUUGAUUUUGAACUUAAUAGAUACAAAGAGCAUAUCAAGAAGACAAGGCCUGACGCUGCACAUGAAGCUAAUAAGGCGAGAGCGAUGAGGGUUCUUAAGCAAAAACGAAUCAUUGGGACGUCCUCUUCAUAAUGCUAUUGUUUGGAUGGUUGGUAGUUGGUACAGCUCUAUUUACAGUGCAAGUGUGUUUGGUAUCUCAGCGGAGUCAAUGAAGUUGUCUUCUGUUUGAUAAGGACCAACUGAAGUUUCAGAUGGAGAAGGCCGAGAAGGAUAGAUGUAAAGUUCGGGCCGAAUGGGAAAAGUAUGUUUCUCCAGCUUCAAGAUAACUAGUGUAGAGAUGUGCUUUUGGACAUGCAUCAUCCACAACCCAGAUUAGUAUUAUUGCUCUAGAUAAUAGGUUUCUGCCUUAGGAUUAGUAUAGUUAUGGAUGUAUGUACUUUGGCUGCAAUGACAGAUUGAAUAUUGGCAUUUUUGUGCUUGGAUUCCAAAUUUGAUGAAUAUAUGGUAUUUUUUAGUUUUCAGAUUACAUGUUUGUCACACAACAAGAAUACAAAUAUGUGUCGUCUGA
rnacentral:lncRNA from 1 species